AAGGAUCAUUGCACACACAAAGUUGCAGCCAACCAUAUCGCGAAUCUUACCAAUUGUCCCCCCCCCUUCACUUGGGUUGGGGCGGUUGGGGCGCUCUCAUCGGCCUUAGGUCUGUUGGGAGUGUCUCGGCCCUCCCUAAUAACGCCCAAGUUGUUCCAACCGAUUGCGCAAUGCAUCAACACCUCCAAUAUGACUGAGUAUACCCAAAUCGGGACUCCUUAACUGGGGUCCUCGAGUUGUAAUAAACAAAAACAACUCUCAGCAACGGAUAUCUUGGCUCUU
rnacentral:misc_RNA from 1 species